rnacentral:tRNA from 1 species
UGAAGGGUAGUUUAAAGAGAAUGUUGGAUUGUCAAUCCUAUGGUGUUAGCUAUAACUUCUUUAG